CCUACGGGUGGCAGCAGUGGGGAAUAUUGCACAAUGGGGGAAACCCUGAUGCAGCGACGCCGCGUGAGUGAAGAAGUACUUCGGUAUGUAAAGCUCUAUCAGCGGGGAAGAUAAUGACGGUAACUGAAUAAGAAACCCCGGCUAACUUCGUGCCAGCAGCCGCGGUAAUACGUAGGGGGCAAGCGUUAUCCGGAUUUACUGGGUGUUAAGGGAGCGUAGGCGGCAGUGCAAGUCAGGAGUGAAAGGCGGGGGCUCAACCCCCGGACUGCUUUUGAAACUGUCCGGCUGGAGUGCAGGAGAGGUAAGCGGAAUUCCCAGUGUAGCGGUGAAAUGCGUAGAUAUUAGGAGGAACACCAGUGGCGAAGGCGGCUUACUGGACUGUAACUGACGUUGAGGCGCGAAAGCGUGGGGAGCAAACAGGAUUAGAUACCCGAGUAGUC
rnacentral:rRNA from 1 species